rnacentral:rRNA from 1 species
GAAGAAGUGAAUUAAGGGCAUUUGGUGGAUGCCUUGGCAUGCACAGGCGAAGAAGGACGUGAUACGCUGCGAAAAGCCGCGGGGAGCUGCGAAUAAGCUUUGAUCCAUGGAUCUCCGAAUGGGGCAACCCACCUUAAAUGCUUGGAAACUCCAGUCUGUUUUAACGAACGGCCUGGGUUUCCAAGCAUUGUGAUAAGGUAUCUUACUGUCGAAUACAUAGGGGUAAGAAGCGAACGCAGGGAACUGAAACAUCUAAGUACCUGCAGGAAAGGACAUCAACCGAGACUCCGCAAGUAGUGGCGAGCGAACGCGGACCAGGCCAGUGGCAAUGAUGAAUAAAGCGGAACGAUUUGGAAAAGUCGGCCAUAGAGGGUGAUAGCCCCUUACGCGUAGAACAGUCAUUGUC